GACGAACGCUGGCGGCGUGCUUAACACAUGCAAGUCGAACGGAAAGGCCCUGCUUUUGUGGGGUGCUCGAGUGGCGAACGGGUGAGUAACACGUGAGUAACCUACCCUUGACUUUGGGAUAACUUCAGGAAACUGGGGCUAAUACCGGAUAGGAGCUCCUGCUGCAUGGUGGGGGUUGGAAAGUUUCGGCGGUUGGGGGUGGACUCGCGGCUUAUCAGCUUGUUGGUGGGGUAGUGGCUUACCAAGGCUUUGACGGGUAGCCGGCCUGAGAGGGUGACCGGCCACAUUGGGACUGAGAUACGGCCCAGACUCCUACGGGAGGCAGCAGUGGGGAAUAUUGCACAAUGGGCGGAAGCCUGAUGCAGCAACGCCGCGUGCGGGAUGACGGCCUUCGGGUUGUAAACCGCUUUCGCCUGUGACGAAGCGUGAGUGACGGUAAUGGGUAAAGAAGCACCGGCUAACUACGUG
rnacentral:rRNA from 1 species